rnacentral:rRNA from 1 species
CCUACGGGAGGCAGCAGUGGGGAAUAUUGCACAAUGGGCGCAAGCCUGAUGCAGCCAUGCCGCGUGUAUGAAGAAGGCCUUCGGGUUGUAAAGCACUUUCAGCGAGGAGGAAGGUGUGUGAGGUUAAUACNCUCAUCAAUUGACGUUACUCGC